AUCAAUAAGCGGAGGAAAAGAAACUAACCAGGAUUCCCUUAGUAACGGCGAGUGAAGCGGGAAGAGCCCAGCACCGAAUCCCCCGCCUUUGGGCGGUGGGACCUGUGGUGUUAAGGACGUUUCUCUGGGUCGGGGCGACGUAUGCCCGAGUCCUCCUGAUAGGGGCUUCGCCCAGUGCGGGUGUAAGGCCUCUCCAGGUGUGCGCUCCCGUCCCUCUGAGCGUCCUCCGAGUCGGGUUGUUUGCGAAUGCAGCCCAAAGCGGGUGGUAAACUCCAUCUAAGGCUAAAUACUGGCACGAGUCCGAUAGCAAACAAGUACCGUGAGGGAAAGUU
rnacentral:rRNA from 1 species